UGUGUGUGUGUGUGUGUGUGUGUGAGAGACGGAGAGAGAGAGAGAGAGAAAAAAAAAAAGAAAGAACAUAAUCAUUUAGUCUCUCAGGUAUUACGAUAGCUUAUAUGUUCUGCCCACAUAUACUGUAAUGGGAAGACUUUAUUACACGGCUCUUCAUAAUGCUGCAGAAUGCUCCAUUCAGGACAAAGCAAGACCCCUCCGCUGGCGCGA